CGUGUAGGUGGCUAAUUAAGUCAGGUGUGAAAUCCUUCCGCUUAACGGGAGAAGUGCACUUGAAACUGCUUAGCUAGAGUACGGGAGAGGAAGGUGGAAUUCCUGGUGUAGAGGUGAAAUUCAUAGAUAUCGGGAAGAACACCGGUGGCGAAGGCGGCCUUCUGGCCCGAUACUGACGCUGAGACGCGAAAGCGUGGGGAGCAAACAGGAUUAGAUACCCGGGUAGUCCACGCCGUAAACGUUGGGCACUAGGUGUGGGAGGUUUUUAUUCCUUCUUUGCCGAAGCUAACGCAUUAAGUGCCCCGCCUGGGGAGUACGGUCGCAAGGCUAAA
rnacentral:rRNA from 1 species